rnacentral:ncRNA from 1 species
CAUGCAAGUAUCUGCCCCCCGGUGAAAUGCCCUUUUAACCACUUUUGGUAUUAAGGAGCUGGUAUCAAGCACACUACACAGUAGCUCAUAACACCUUGCACAGCCACACCCCCACGGGAAACAGCAGUAACAAAAAUUAAGCAAUAAACGAAAGUUCGACUAAGUUAUGCUAAUUAGGGCUGGUCAACUUCGUGCCAGCCACCGCGGUCAUACGAACAGCCCAAAUUAAUAGAACCCGGCGUAAAGUGUGGUUAUGAAAUUAAUACACUAAAGUUAAACUUAACCUCAGCUGUAAAAAGCUAAAGGUCUAAAAUUAAAUACUCUACGAAAGUGACUUUAACAAAUCAGAAUCCACGAUAGCUAAAACACAAACUGGGAUUAAAUACCCCACUAUGCCUAGCCUUAAACCUAGUUAAUUAGYUAACAAAAUUACUCGCCAGAGAACUACGAGCAAAAGCUUAAAACUCAAAGGACUUGGCGGUGCUUUAUAUCCCCCUAGAGGAGCCUGUUGUUUAAUCGAUAAACCCCGCUAAACCCYACCAUCAUUUGCUAAUCCAGUCUAUAUACCGCCAUCUUCAGCAAACCCUUAAAAGGAGUCAAAGUAAGCUUAAUUAUACUUAAUAAAAACGUUAGGUCAAGGUGUAACUUAUAUGAUGGAAACUAAUGGGCUACAUUCCCUUUUAAAGAGCAUUAACGAACACCCUUAUGAAAAGAACGGUUAAAGGAGGAUUUAGUAGUAAGCCAAGAAUAGAGAGCUUGGCUGAAUCAGGCCAUGAAGCACGCACACACCGCCCGUCACCCUCCUCAAAUGUUAUCUGAACAUAAAUAUAUUUAAAUUGAAAUAAACACAAGAGGAGACAAGUCGUAACAAGGUAAGCAUACUGGAAAGUGUGCUUGGAUUAUUCAAAGUGUAGCUUAAAACAAAGCAUCUGGCCUACACCCAGAAGAUCUCAAUUUAAUGAUCACUUUGAACUAAUACUAGCCCUACUAAAAACUUAUAAAACUAAAACUCCCAAAUAAACUAAAACAUUUAUACUAUAAAGUAUAGGAGAUAGAAAUAUGACUUAGGAUAGAAGUACCGCAAGGGAACGAUGAAAGAUAGUAGUAAAUAGCAAAGCUUAAACCUUGUACCUUUUGCAUCAUGGAUUAACUAGAAACCAUUUGACAAAGAGCCCUUCAGCCAAAACCCCCGAAACCAGACGAGCUACUCACGAACAAUAAUAGAAUAAACUCGUCUAUGUAGCAAAAUAGUGAGAAGAUUUGUGAGUAGAGGUGAAAAGCCAAUCGAGCCUGGAGAUAGCUGGUUGUCCAAAAAAAGAAUUUAAGUUCCCUAAAUUUACCCUUAAAGGAUAACCUAGCCUUAUUUCGUAAAUUUAGAGCUAAUCAAUAGAGGGACAUCUCUAUUGAUUAAGGUCACAACCUUAAUUAGAGAGUAAGUAAGUACAUAAACAUAGUAGGCCUAAAAGCAGCCACCAAUUAAGAAAGCGUUAAAGCUCAACACUAAUUUAAAAUACUAAUUCAACAAAUCCAACAAACUCCUAAUUCAAUACUGAACUAUUCUAUUUAUAUAUAGAAAUAAUAAUGUUAGUAUGAGUAACAAGAAAGACAUUCUCCUAGCACAAGCUUAUAUCAGAACGGAUGCCCACUGAUAGUUAAUAGUCCUAUAAUUAUAACCCACAAUCUAGCUAAUUAUUCUCCAUACUAUUAACCCAACACUGGUGUGCACUUAAGGAAAGAUUAAAAGAAGUAAAAGGAACUCGGCAAACAUGAAUCCCGCCUGUUUACCAAAAACAUCACCUCUAGCAUUACUAGUAUUAGAGGCCAUGCCUGCCCAGUGACAUUAGUUUUAACGGCCGCGGUACUCUGACCGUGCAAAGGUAGCAUAAUCAUUUGUUCUCUAAAUAAGGACUUGUAUGAACGGCUUCACGAGGAUUCAACUGUCUCUUACUUCCAAUCAGUGAAAUUGACCUCCCCGUGAAGAGGCGGGGAUAUAAAUAUAAGACGAGAAGACCCUAUGGAGCUUUAAU